GGUAGAUAGGUUAGGAGUGUAAUUGUGGUGACACAUUUAGCGGACUAAUACUAAUAGCUCGAGGACUUAUCCAAAA
rnacentral:rRNA from 1 species